GAGGUCAAAUCACGCUGAAACACCGGUUCUCGUACGAUCACCGAAGUUAAGCAUUUUAGAGCCAAUUUGGGGUACUUAGAUGGGGGACCGCUUGGGAACACCUGGUACUGUAAGC